GUGGAGGAGAAGAAUUGAUCCAUUGUUUUGAAAUGGAGAAGGAUGCAUGCAGCAGGAAAAAGACAAGAAGUGGAGGGCCCCUAUUCUAUUUCCUGCAAUUUUAGGAGUGAAAGAAAGUCUUCAACCUACAACAAAAGACAAAACGAAACAUUGCAAUAGACUAGGCACGGCUGGAAACAAGGAGGGAUCACGGGAGUUUGUCCAGAAGAUUGGCUAUAAAAGAGUGUAUUUUUGUGAAAAAUGGCGAAUUUAAUGAAGAAUGAAAGUGGUUCAAGCUUGGGAAGCAGUGGAACGCGUUGGUACUCAAUGAAUGAAGGUAAUGUUUAGGGUCAGUUUUGACUUGUGAUUGUGAAUUGGAGCAUGAAUGAGUGUUGGGAUGUAUUCGAGUAUGUGAUUGUUGAGCAUGAGAGUGGAGGAUAAGUCUAUUUACUAUACCUUGUAAAUCCUAGUGCUAUCUGAGGAUAAGUGUUUCCUUUUUGCCUUGUGUGCAUUGGAAAGGUUAUUCGGGUCAUGAUCCUUCCUUGUGUUGGGGUGAAGGUGUCUUCUUUGUCCUUGUGUGACAAGAUUACAUGUUCCUUAGCUAAAUUGCAAGACUACUCGAAUGUAUCUGUAUGGGGAAUCUACAUAUGAGGUUAUAAGAGCGACUACAAGUGAGGUAGGGUACAAGAGUGUGACUUAUUCUUUUUAUUGUGGUGUUUAUGGUAUGGUGAUGCUCAUGGUGUUGUUCAUGACUGAGAUAGUCAUGAUGGUGGUGAAUAUAUGAUGGUGAUCAUGGUAUUUAAGAUGCUUCAGUUGAUGUUAUGUGAUAGCAGUGUUAUUAUACGAGUAUAGUAGGUAGUUAGCUAGGUGCUAAUAAGUGGAUAGACCAAGGGUCUAUGUGUGAGAUGCUAGUGAUGACAUCAACUGAUAGAGAUUGAGGAUCGAGGGUCAAGUAAUUUGUUUGAUUGAAUUGUUAUGUUAGAGGAUUAGGAAUCCUAUUGUUAUUACCACUAUGUAUGGGGUGUUUGAUUAUUGUUUAUUUAAUCAGUAUGUUUAUAUCUUGUUACUAUGAAUGUUUUACCAGUAGUUUACCCCAUACAUGUUUGUGCGUGUACAUGUGAAUGCGACGAUAUGAUGUUAUACUUGAGCAAAUGAUGUUGCAGAUGGUAUUGAGACAUGAUAGAUUCAAGAGAUGACAGGAGACAAACUUGGGAUUUUAUUUACAGUUAUUAGUUUUCAACUUUGAGACCAUGUAAUUGAAGUCAUUUUAUUUCCUUCGUUAUUUUCAUUGGACAAAUGUUUUGGAACUAUUAUGUUUG
rnacentral:sRNA from 1 species